GCUUGCUUUGGCACCCAUAUCCUAAAAUUAAAAUGAGACAGAGGAAAUUAGCAUGGCCCUUUUGAACAAAUGACAUGCAAAUUUGUGAAAUGUUUCAGAGAUAA